UUGUCAAACUUCCUCUUUUCAUUUUUCCACAACACAAGUUCAGCUAUAAUUUAGUUUAGUGUUUUUCCUUCUUUCAUACACACUAACUUGUUAUCUAUAUUUUUCCCUUUUCUGCAUCAACUCCAAAAUGGAUGUACACAAGUUGUACUUUCCAACACUACACGAGGAACAUUACUUUCUGUUCGUCGUCGACAUCAAGGGUCGCACGUUUUAUUUUCUGGAUUCUUUCUAAGAUGAGAAGAGCUCAUAUCAUAUGAACAUAAAAAAGAAGAUUAUCUCAAGCUUUAUAUGCACUUGGUACGAAGCUCGGCUCCAGCCAAUGGAUUUCAAUGCAUUCCCUGCUGUUUACCCUAAAGUCCCUCAACAAGAUAACGAUAUUGAUUGUGGCAUUUUCACUAUGAAACUAAUGAGAUGGUGCCAAGGAAUCCAACCCCUAUAGUUUUUUCACCAAAAGAUGUCCCAGAUGCAAGGAUCCGAUAUGUUGUUGAUCUCAUGUUCAGCCACUACAACACUUUGGAUGACGAGAAGAAGCGUGUCAAGGAGUUCCACCUAUAGACAUGAAAAAGUGCUGACAGCUCCUAAAAGACACCACUCACAAUGACAAGAGGAGCUAUAUCAAGAGUCAUAUUAGCAAAAUUAAAGGAAAGAUGAGCUGUAUCAAACACAUAGUUAGCAAUUGUUAAACAUUUUCGAGAUGUUUUUCUAUUUUUUGUAUGAACAGAGAAUGUUCACCUUUCUUGUUGCUGUACACAUAUAUAUGCCCCCUCUGUUAUUUUUUAUUUGGUUGGGAAACAUGUGCUCCCGAAGGUGCUUCUACCCUAGUUUGGUCUUUUUCACUCGGUAAUGUGGUGAAACACAGGAACUAUAACAGUGUUUUUGCUCAUGUGUUUAUGUUUGCACCUUUUCCAAAAUUUUGCUUAAAUGAAUUUUCAUGUUUCCCGUGUGGGCAUCAAUACUUUUUUGGUGUUUUCCAUCUGAUGGAGAGGGCCAAGGAGAUGACGACACAAAGGCACCAAAAACUUAUGAACUUAAGGAGGAGAAACAAUGCCCAUUUUGGAUUUUUCUCAUAAUGCAAGGAAACACUCAUAAAGAUCAAGACCAACGGCAACAAGAGUUAUAAGUGUUUGCAACAUAGCAGAAGAACAAGUUUUUUCAUGAAAAGCACAUGACUUGAAGAGGGCACAAGCUACCAUUUUUUCAUGAAAGCACAUACAUGCAUUGCAAAUGGACUUGAAGAUGUUUGAAAUGGCAGUCGCGUCCCAGCUUGUUGCUGCUGCACAUAUUGGGCACCAACGUAUGGCUGCUGCACAUAGAGAAGAAACUUUGAACAACAUGUGAGACAAAGAUGGAGUUUUCCUCCCAAGAAGUUAUCUUAGAGACAAACCUGCGUGCCCAUCAGGAAAUUUCCAUACUGCUCCAAAAUUGCUGCAGAAAAACAAAGGGAGAAGAAGAAAUCAGAAGGUUUUCAGAUCCAAAAAGAAGAAGGGAACAAGAUCAGGAGAAUUGAAAAAGAAAGGAGCUGCAGAUGGAUCCAUGGACGCACAAACUCACCCUGUGAUAGAGGUGACGUGGCAUCAUUAACGAGGGAUUACUGUAGCCUAAUUAUCCGGGCGUCACAGCGGCGAGCGCACCUCCUCCUCAGCUCCUCCCCACUACGUCAAGCCAAAGACGGAGCCGGGGCUCGCCGCCGUGAAGACGGAGCCUGGGCUCGCCGGCGGCGUGAAGGAGGAACUCGACGACGCGGCGGCCUUGAAGUGGGUGCAUGAAGACUGGGCGCAGAGGGAGUUGAAGCACCAGUGCCGUGCCUACGAGUAGUUCACCGCUUGGCGCUGUGCCUGCGACAAGGGAGGCGUCGUCGUCCUCGACGACGACGCGCCGCCGCCACCGGUCCGCCAGGGCGACGCCGGACAGGGGUCCAGCAGGGGCGGCCGCGUCAAGGAGGAGAAGGACGACGAGGAUGGUGGCGACGACGGCGACUUCGCCGCGCUCAGCACGUUCUUCGGCCCGUAGUUAUAGUUGCGGCCCUUUUUUUAAAGUACUUCGCUUUGCUAUGUGAAAAACUAUGUAGGUCGCCUAAGUAAUGUCAUGUUCGCCGAAUUUUAGCCGAAUCUUUGUCCCGUUUGUUGAACUUUAGCCGAAUUCCUUAAAAAAAGCCUUCUGGGAGCAACCCUGGGGCC